rnacentral:rRNA from 1 species
AGCCUGAACGCUGGCGGCGUGCUUAACACAUGCAAGUCGAGCGGAAAGGCCCUUCGGGGUACUCGAGCGGCGAACGGGUGAGUAACACGUGAGUAAUCUGCCCCUAGCUCUGGGAUAGCUCCGGGAAAACCGGGAUUAAUACCAGAUACGACCACUUUAGACAUCUUCUGUGGUGGAAAGAACUUCGGCUAGGGAUGAACUCGCGGCCUAUCAGCUUGUUGGUGAGGUAACGGCUCACCAAGGCGACGACGGGUAGCCGGCCUGAGAGGGCGACCGGCCACACUGGGACUGAGACACGGCCCAGACUCCUACGGGAGGCAGCAGUGGGGAAUAUUGCGCAAUGGGCGAAAGCCUGACGCAGCGACGCCGCGUGGGGGAUGAAGGCCUUCGGGUUGUAAACCCCUUUCAGCAGGACGAAGCGAAAGUGACGGUACCUGCAGAAGAAGCGCCGGCUAACUACGUGCCAGCAGCCGC